AGUGAACGCUGGCGGUAGGCCUAACACAUGCAAGUCGAACGGCAGCACAGUAAGAGCUUGCUCUUACGGGUGGCGAGUGGCGGACGGGUGAGGAAUACAUCGGAAUCUACUUUUUCGUGGGGGAUAACGUAGGGAAACUUACGCUAAUACCGCAUACGGCCUACGGGUGAAAGCAGGGGAUCUUCGGACCUUGCGCGAUUGAAUGAGCCGAUGUCGGAUUAGCUAGUUGGCGGGGUAAAGGCCCACCAAGGCGACGAUCCGUAGCUGGUCUGAGAGGAUGAUCAGCCGCACUGGAACUGAGACACGGUCCAGACUCCUACGGGAGGCAGCAGUGGGGAAUAUUGGACAAUGGGCGCAAGCCUGAUCCAGCCAUACCGCGUGGGUGAAGAAGGCCUUCGGGUUGUAAAGCCCUUUUGUUGGGAAAGAAAAGCAGCAGGUUAAUACCCCGCUGUUCUGACGGUACCCAAAGAAUAAGCACCGGCUAACUUCGUG
rnacentral:rRNA from 1 species